GGAGAGAUGGCUCAGGGGUUAAGAGCACUGACUACACUUCUAGAGGUCCUGAGUUCAAUUCCCAGCAACCACA
rnacentral:tRNA from 1 species